ACAGUAACUGACGCUGAGGCGCGAAAAGCGUGGGGAGCGAACAGGAUUAGAUACCGUGGUAGUCCACGCCGUAAACGAUGGAUACUAGGUGUAGGAGGUAUCGACCCGUUCUGUGCCGGAGUUAACACAUUAAGUAUCCCACCUGGGGAAUACGACCGCAAGGUUGAAACUCAAAGGAAUUGACGGGGGCCCGCACAAGCAGUGGAGUAUGUGGUUUAAUUCGAAGCAACGCGAAGAACCUUACCAGGGCUUGACAUCCGUUGACAGCUCUAGAGAUAGAGUUUCCCUUCGGGGCAAGGAGACAGGUGGUGCAUGGUUGUCGUCAGCUCGUGUCGUGAGAUGUUGGGUUUAAGUCCCGUAACGAGCGCAACCCUUAUUGUUAGUUGCCAGCAAGUUAAAGUUGGGCACUCUAACGAGACUGCCGGUGAUAAAUUGGAGGAAGGUGGGGAUGACGUUCAAAAUCAAUCAUCCCCUUUAUGUCCUGGGUUACACACGUAUUACAAUGGCUGUACAGAGGGAGCUAACCCGCGAGUGGACCCAAUCCCCAAAACCGUCCCCAGUUCGGAUGCAGACUGCAAUUGCCUGCAUGAAAGUGGAAUUGCUAGUAAUGNCAGUCAGCAUACUGCCGU
rnacentral:rRNA from 1 species